GGGGGGUGGGGUGCACUUUGUUCUCUGCCACUGGGGCUUGGUACAGAGAAUAGCGAGAGGUCUUGUUGGCGUGACGCUUUGUGUCAGAUCACUCAGGAGCUGCAGACCCUCAGAAUCUAACGUCUCAGAUUCCUCGAUCUGCAGAAACGGUCGGUCAGCGCAAGGAGGACGUCUUCAAGUACAACUACAAGAAAAA